AAAUCUUGACGGUUACUAACAAAUACAGUGUAUGGUAUCACUUGGUAUAUAAGCAACUUUUAAAAAUAUUGACCGGGAAUAAACAGUUAAAAUAAUUGAUAAUGGUUACAGUAAGCGACCGUUUCAUCCUCAAACAAAAAUUGAGUUGACGAACGUUUUGUCCAGUCACUUUAAACUUUAACCCCCCCCCCCCCAUUGCCUUUCUACAUCUAAUAAAUGUAUUAUUUAUAUUAUUGUAUAUUUCAUUAAUUCUAGUACCUACUAUCUUUAAAAAUAUAUGACAUAAACGUUUCUGAAUAUUUCUAGAACUCGUUCAGAAACCUAAUUGAUAAUAAUGAUAAUAAUAAUACAAUUAUAUUUUUUAUAGAUAAUAAUACUAUCUGCACGGGUUUUCAACAACACCGUGGUUAUGACUUAUGACCACGAUUAAAGAUACUAUUUAUGGUUGUGAAUAAAUAAAAUUCUACUUUUGCCGUCAUGGAUAAAUUUCUAAUAAGAAAAACAAGUGCAACAAUAUUUCAAUCAUCAUCAAAAAUUGAUGUGACUAAUACUGAAAAAAACAAACAAAAACGUUCUGUGGAAGAUGAUGAUGUUACCACUAAAAUUGCUAAAACCAGUGUAUUGUUAUUGACUAUGCCGGAUGACUGAAAAGUAACACUAAAUACAACGGUCUUAACGAACGCAUGUAUUUCGAUUUUGAUUUUAAAACAAUCUUGUUUACAGCACACACAAAUACAUUAAUACUGAAUUUUAAGAUUUUAUACUUAAAUAUUUAUAAGAAAAUUACGGAAAAAAUGUAAGAUGAACGAUAUUAAUUCAGUAUUAAUUAAUUUAAUAAUACAUAACGUUUACGGACCAAAAAACAUUUAUAACUUUAUACAAGCCCAUUGAAAUUUAGAAGUUAACUAUUGAUAUAUUUAAAUCACAAUAACGUAUUCGCUUUGACCAACUACGAUUUAUCCCUAUGUUGAAAUUCAUCUCACGAAUUCAACUGUUUUAAUCAAAACUUGGAUUUUUAUUACAAUUAACUGCCACUAUAACAUUAAAUAGUUAGUAAGCUAUAAACUUUAUGAACUAUUGCCAAUUUCUUCAAGACAUGAAAUCAGCACAAUAUUAUGAUAUAAUUAAACCACACUAGGCAUAUUAUGUUCAUAAAAUAUUUUUAUGAUAAGCAUUCAUUUUUAUUUAAUAAAUAACGAUGGUUGAAUUUGAUUUAGAUACGUUAUAAAAUAAUAAAUGUUCUUAAUUAA